rnacentral:rRNA from 1 species
GAUGAACGCUGGCGGCGUGCCUAAUACAUGCAAGUCGAGCGAAUGGAUUAAGAGCUUGCUCUUAUGAAGUUAGCGGCGGACGGGUGAGUAACACGUGGGUAACCUGCCCAUAAGACUAGGAGAACUCCGGGAAACCGGGGCGAAUACCGGAUAACAUUUUGAACCGCAUGGUUCGAAAUGGAAAGGCGGCUUCGGCUGUCACUUAGGGAUGGACCCGCGUCGCAUUAGCUAGUUGGUGAGGUAACGGCUCACCAAGGCAACGAUGCGUAGCCGACCUGAGAGGGUGAUCGGCCACACUGGGACUGAGACACGGCCCAGACUCCUACGGGAGGCAGCAGUAGGGAAUCUUCCGCAAUGGACGAAAGUCUGACGGAGCAACGCCGCGUGAGUGAUGAAGGCUUUCGGGUCGUAAAACUCUGUUGUUAGGGAAGAACAAGUGCUAGUUGAAUAAGCUGGCACCUUGACGGUACCUAACCAGAGAGCCACGGCUAACUACGUGCCAGCAGCCGCCGUAA